rfam:Serratia proteamaculans 568, complete genome.
AGAGAGCUGAACCGCCAUGAACUCUACUUUCCGUCUACUAGGCCUACUACUUAACGCAUCUUGUUUGCGCGGUAUGCCGGUGGACGCAGUUCAGAGCUGAUUCAGCCCACCUCAUAACAAACCCGCGCUACUGCGCGGGUUUUUUU